CUGCUGCCUUCCGUAAGAGUUUGGACCGUGUCUCAGUUCCAAUGUGGGGGACCUUCCUCUCAGAACCCCUACGCAUCGUCGGCUUGGUGGGCCGUUGCCCCACCAACUACCUAAUGCGCCGCAUGCCCAUCCGUGACCGGGGUCGCCCCCUUUGGCCGGCAGGGGAUGUCCCCUCCCGGCAUUAUGUUGUAUUAGGCGGGAUUUCUCCCGGUUAUCCAUCUGUCACGGCCAGGUUGCAUACGUGUUACUCACCCGUGCGCCGGUCGCCGGCGG
rnacentral:rRNA from 1 species